GAUGAACGCUGGCGGCGUGCUUAACACAUGCAAGUCGAACGGUGAAGCAGGAGCUUGCUCCUGUGGAUCAGCGGCGAACGGGUGAGUAACACGUGAGCAAUCUGCCCUGGACUCUGGGAUAAGCGUUGGAAACGACGUCUAAUACCGGAUACGAGGCGUGGGGGCAUCCCCAACGCCUGGAAAGAACUUCGGUCCAGGAUGAGCUCGCGGCCCAUUAGCUUGUUGGUGAGGUAACGGCUCACCAAGGCCACGAUGGGUAGCUGGUCUGAGAGGACGAUCAGCCACACUGGGACUGAGACACGGCCCAGACUCCUACGGGAGGCAGCAGUGGGGAAUCUUGCGCAAUGCGCGAAAGCGUGACGCAGCAACGCCGCGUGAGGGAAGAAGGCCUUCGGGUUGUAAACCUCUUUCAGGAGGGACGAAGGUUCAGGCGCGAAUAGCGUCCUGGACUGACGGUACCUCCAGAAGAAGCUCCGGCUAACUAC
rnacentral:rRNA from 1 species